rnacentral:rRNA from 1 species
GACGAACGCUGGCGGCGUGCUUAACACAUGCAAGUCGAACGAUGAAGCCUAGCUUGCUAGGUGGAUUAGUGGCGAACGGGUGAGUAAUACGUGAGUAACCUACCUUUAACUCUGGGAUAAGCCCGGGAAACUGGGUCUAAUACCGGAUACGACCAAUCUCCGCAUGGGGUGUUGGUGGAAAGCGUUGUGUAGUGGUUAUAGAUGGGCUCACGGCCUAUCAGCUUGUUGGUGAGGUAACGGCUCACCAAGGCGACGACGGGUAGCCGGCCUGAGAGGGUGACCGGCCACACUGGGACUGAGACACGGCCCAGACUCCUACGGGAGGCAGCAGUGGGGAAUAUUGCACAAUGGGCGCAAGCCUGAUGCAGCGACGCCGCGUGAGGGAUGACGGCCUUCGGGUUGUAAACCUCUGUUAGCAGGGAAGAAGAGAGAUUGACGGUACCUGCAGAGAAAGCGCCGGCUAACUACGUGCCAGCAGCCGCGGUAAUACGUAGGGCGCGAGCGUUGUCCGGAAUUAUUGGGCGUAAAGAGCUUGUAGGCGGUUUGUCGCGUCUGCUGUGAAGGCCGGGGCUUAACUCCGUGUAUUGCAGUGGGUACGGGCAGACUAGAGUGCAGUAGGGGAGACUGGAAUUCCUGGUGUAGCGGUGGAAUGCGCAGAUAUCAGGAGGAACACCGAUGGCGAAGGCAGGUCUCUGGGCUGUAACUGACGCUGAGAAGCGAAAGCAUGGGGAGCGAACAGGAUUAGAUACCCUGGUAGUCCAUGCCGUAAACGUUGGGCACUAGGUGUGGGGAACAUUCCACGUUUUCCGCGCCGUAGCUAACGCAUUAAGUGCCCCGCCUGGGGAGUACGGCCGCAAGGCUAAAACUCAAAGAAAUUGACGGGGGCCCGCACAAGCGGCGGAGCAUGCGGAUUAAUUCGAUGCAACGCGAAGAACCUUACCAAGGCUUGACAUAUACUGGACCGCAUCAGAGAUGGUGUUUCCCUUCGGGGCUGGUAUACAGGUGGUGCAUGGUUGUCGUCAGCUCGUGUCGUGAGAUGUUGGGUUAAGUCCCGCAACGAGCGCAACCCUCGUUCUAUGUUGCCAGCACGUAAUGGUGGGGACUCAUAGGAGACUGCCGGGGUCAACUCGGAGGAAGGUGGGGAUGACGUCAAAUCAUCAUGCCCCUUAUGUCUUGGGCUUCACGCAUGCUACAAUGGCCGGUACAGAGGGUUGCGAUACUGUGAGGUGGAGCUAAUCCCUAAAAGCCGGUCUCAGUUCGGAUUGGGGUCUGCAACUCGACCCCAUGAAGUCGGAGUCGCUAGUAAUCGCAGAUCAGCAACGCUGCGGUGAAUACGUUCCCGGGCCU